CAGCACCGCGAGACCCAAAUCUCAUCCGUGGGUGAAACCUAAACCUAAUUCCGGCGUCUUCCUCCCCACGCCGAUGUCUUCGCUUCCGCCUCUAACGAACUCGCCCGCCUCCACCCUCCUCCUCCCUGCCCGCGACCGCGAGACUCUCUCCUGCGAUUGGAAUAAGUACGCCAAGUACUGCCCUAAUCGCGAGGUACGAUCCCCGGUCGGGAUCGACACGAAUGCGCUGGUCGAGGCACGAGUUUGUAUAUGUCUGGCCACACGGGACCGACCGCAGAGCGAUGCCUCGUGUUGUCUUCUUAAUUUCCGUUUCUUGUGAGAGAGAAGCUGUGGCAUGAUGGUCCGUUGCUGACUUGUGAAGCUUCAUAGAAGAUAAUAAAAGGGAUGAAGAAGAGGCCAUCACCAACUACAUUAGCAAUUCGUGAUACCAUAUGGGACUUUUAGUCAAUUCUCUUCACUUUUUGGUUCAGCGUUUGCAUUCGAAAUACCAUGUUAGUUAUUCAAAACUUUGUCUAUCUAAUCCAGAAUGGUAUGAAUCCUCAGUCAGCCACUGCUCCAUUGAUUUCAUCUAUAAUUUCGAUGUUGUUUUUAGGCGGCAUUUUUAGGAUGUAGAAGAGAGUGCUAAGAAAUGAAAAAAGGGAAAUGCAAAAGAGAAUGCUGAAGAAGUGUAUAUCUUUUUGAUCUUACGGUGCAAUGUACUAUUUUUGUUUUCAUUGUGGCAUGGAUUUUGUGAUUGUAUGAACUUUAAUAUUAGACAAAACGAUAUAAUAGACUUUGUGAUUGUGA